rnacentral:rRNA from 1 species
CACGUAGGGCGCAAGCGUUGUCCGGAAUUAUUGGGCGUAAAGAGCUCGUAGGCGGUCUGUUGCGUCCGCUGUGAAAACCCGCGGCUUAACUGCGGGCUUGCGGUUGAUACGGGCGGGCUAGAGUUCGGUAGGGGAGACUGGAAUUCCUGGUGUAGCGGUGAAAUGCGCAGAUAUCAGGAGGAACACCGGUGGCGAAGGCGGGUCUCUGGGCCGAUACUGACGCUGAGGAGCGAAAGCGUGGGGAGCGAACAGG